UACGUAGGGUGCAAGCGUUGUCCGGAAUUAUUGGGCGUAAAGAGCGUGUAGGCGGCCCGGUAAGUCUGUUGUGAAAGUCCAGGGCUCAACCCUGGAAUGCCGAUGGAUACUGCCGGGCUAGAGUUCGGAAGAGGCGAGUGGAAUUCCUGGUGUAGCGGUGGAAUGCGCAGAUAUCAGGAGGAACACCUAUAGCGAAGGCAGCUCGCUGGGACGACACUGACGCUGAGACGCGAAAGCGUGGGGAGCGAACAGG
rnacentral:rRNA from 1 species